rnacentral:rRNA from 1 species
UACGUAGGGUGCAAGCGUUAAUCGGAAUUACUGGGCGUAAAGCGUGCGCAGGCGGUCUUGCAAGACAGAUGUGAAAUCCCCGGGCUCCAACCUGGGAACUGCAUUUGUGACUGCAAGGCUGGAGUACGGUAGAGGGGGAUGGAAUUCCGCGUGUAGCAGUGAAAUGCGUAGAUAUGCGGAGGAACACCGAUGGCGAAGGCAAUCCCCUGGACCUGUACUGACGCUCAUGCACGAAAGCGUGGGGAGCAAACAGG